UACGGAGGAUGCGAGCGUUAUCCGGAUUUACUGGGUUUAAAGGGUGCGUAGGCGGAAUAUCAAGUCAGCGGUAAAAAUUCGGGGCUCAACCCCGUCGUGCCGUUGAAACUGAUGUUCUUGAGUGGGCGAGAAGUAUGCGGAAUGCGUGGUGUAGCGGUGAAAUGCAUAGAUAUCACGCAGAACUCCGAUUGCGAAGGCAGCAUACCGGCGCCCAACUGACGCUGAAGCACGAAAGCGUGGGUAUCGAACAGG
rnacentral:rRNA from 1 species